GACGAACGCUGGCGGCGUGCUUAACACAUGCAAGUCGAACGGAAAGGCCCUGCUUGCAGGGUGCUCGAGUGGCGAACGGGUGAGUAACACGUGGGUGAUCUGCCCCUUACUUUGGGAUAAGCCUGGGAAACUGGGUCUAAUACUGGAUAGGACCAUGCUGUAGGUGGUGUGGUGGAAAGAUUAGUUUCGGUAAGGGAUGAGCUCGCGGCCUAUCAGCUUGUUGGUGGGGUAAUGGCCUACCAAGGCGUCGACGGGUAGCCGGCCUGAGAGGGUGGACGGCCACAUUGGGACUGAGAUACGGCCCAGACUCGUACGGGAGGCAGCAGUGGGGAAUAUUGCACCAUGGGCGCAAGCCUGAUGCAGCGACGCCGCGUGGGGGAUGACGGCCUUCGGGUUGUAAACUCCUUUCAGCCAUGACGAAGCCCUUGUGGUGACGGUAGUGGUAGAAGAAGCACCGGCUAACUACGUG
rnacentral:rRNA from 1 species